CCCAGAGGUCAAGGGGCCGGUGUGGUGGCCCAGAGGUCAAAGGGCCGGUGUGGUGGCCCAGAGGUCAAGGGCUGGUGUGGCCCAGAGGUCAAGGAGCCGGUGUGGUGGCCCAGAGGUCAAGGGCUGGUGUGGUCCAGAGGUCAAGGGGCCGGUGUGGUGACCCAGAGGUCAAGCGGCCGGUGUCAUGGCCCAGAGGUCAAGGGGCCGGUGUGGUGGCCCAGAGGUCAAGGGGCCGGUGUGGUGGCCCAGAGGUCUAGGGGCCGGUGUGGUGGCCCAGAGGUCAAGGGCUGGUGUGGCCCAGAGGUCAAGGGGCCGGUGUGGCACAGAGGUCAAGGGUUGGUGUGGCCCAGAGGUCUAGGGGCCGGUGUGGUGGCCCAGAGGUCUAGGGGCCGGUGUGGUGGCCCAGAGGUCAAGGGGCCGGUGUGGCCCAGAGGUCUAGGGGCCGGUGUGGUGGCCCAGAGGUCAAGGGGCCGGUGUGGUGGCCCAGAAGUCAAGGGGCCGGUGUCAUGGCCCAGAGGUCAAGGGGCUGCUGUGGUGGCCCAGAGGUCAAGGGGCUGCUGUGGCCCAGAGGUCAAGGGGCUGCUGUGGCCCAGAGGUCAAGGGGCCGGUGUGGUGGCCCAGAGGUCAAGGGGCUGCUGUGGUGGCCCAGAGGUCAAGGGGCCACAGCAGCACCAGCAUCCUGCACGAAAGCGCCAGUCUGAGGCCUGACUACUCUCCUAUCCAGCUUCCUCCCAGCAUUCCUGAGAAGGCAGCGAGAUGGCGUGAGUCCUAGGGCCCCUGCCGCCCACGUGGGAAACCCAGAUGGAGUUCCAGGCUCCCUGCUUCAGCCUGGCCCAGCCCCAGCCUUUGCCGCCAUUUAGGGAGUGAACCAGCCAAUGGGAUAUCUCCCCCAUCUCCCCCACCCCGUGUGUGUAUUUAUCUACCUUUCAAAUAAAUAAAUCUUGGGGAAAAAAAAAAAAAAAAAA
rnacentral:lncRNA from 1 species